AAGCUACUUAAUUAAAGCAAACAAUGGAUGCCUUGGCUGUUUGAGCCGAUAAAGGACGUUGCCGUCAGCGAAAAUCGUCGGGAAGGUGACAAGCAACCCGUGAUCCGACGGUCUCCGAAUGGGAAAACCCACCCCGCCUUUGGCGGGGUACCCCCGCCGUAGGCGGGGGGGGGAACUUGGAGAACUGAAACAUCUUAGUACCCAAAGGAAAAGAAAAAAUUCCGUUAGUAGCGGCGAGCGAAAGCGGAAAAGCCCAAACUCUUCGAUUCGAUUUUGCUUCGCAAAACCUCACUCAGAGCUAUAGCCCUGAGGAGUUAUAAAGGGGUCAUUGACCCUGAGCGAGGCGAAGCCGAGUCGAAGGGGGUUGUAGGGUCCUGCGUAAUAAUUCUUUGCGGAUAGAAAAAUGCCUUGGAAUAGGCAACCAAAGAGAGUGAAAGUCUCGUAUUCGAAAUUCAAGAGGAAUUUGCGGGAUUCCUGAGUACCACGGAAGACGCAACUUUUGUGGGAAUCUGUGGUUCGAUAAAACUCACCACACGGUGAGCGGAGUCGAAUCCGUGGGGCUCCACGCCCCAAGGCUAAAUACUCAAACAGACCGAUAGUGAACUAGUACCGUGAGGGAAAGGUGAAAAGUCCCCGUGAGAGGGAGUGAAAUAGAACCUGAAAUUGUUUGCUAACAAGCAGAGAGAGUCCCUCGGCCGCAAGGCUCGGGAUGAUCUCGUGCCUAUUGAAGAAUGAGCCGGCGAGUUUCCGAUAAAUGUAUUAGGUUAAGGUAUUUUGUACCGAAACCGCAGUGAAAGCAAGCCUUAAUAGGGCGUUUAGCAAUUAUCGGAAGACCCGAAACCGGGCGAGCUAACCAUGAGCAGGGUGCCCCCCGCCUAACGGCGGGGUAAAGCCCGAACCCGUUGCUGCUGCAAGAGCAUGGGAUGACUUGUGGUUAGAGGUAAUAUGCCUAACGAGCCCGGAGAUAUCUGGCUCUCCCCGAAAUAUAUAUUGGUAUAGCGUUUCUGAAAAUUUUGUUGGGGUAGAGCACUGGAUGGGAUGAACAACGCAAGUUGUUCAUUUCAACCAAACUCCGAAUACGACAAAAUUAAGAGAAAUAGUCAGUCCCGCCGGGCUAAGCUGGUGGGGCAAAAGGGAAACAACCCAGACUUUCGUCUAAGGCCUCUAAAUCUUACUUAAGUGUGAAAGGAAGUGAAAUUCCUCAGACACCUAGGAGGUUGGCUUAGAAGCAGCCAUCCUUCAAAGAAAGCGUAACAGCUCACUAGGCGAGGAAUUUUGCGCCGAAAAUCUAUCGAGGCUAAAGUAGGUGCCGAAGACAAAGUCCCGCGGAGCUUUGUGCGAAGUGGGAGGUAGGGGAGCGUUCUCAGACUGGUGAAGUUUCACUGUGAGGUGGAAUGGAAGGCUGAGAAGUGGGAAUGCCGGCAUGAGUAGCGAGAUUCCGAUGAGAAUUCGGAACGCCGUAUGUCCAAGGUUUCCCCGACAACGUUCGUCGGUCGGGGGUUAGUCGGUCCUAAGGUGAGCCCCGUUAAAACCCUGGUGAUAGAGUCAUCACUGCGAUAGAUUGUUUUAUGACACCCUAACGCAGCGAGGCUUUUUAUGACCAUGGUUUUAACGGGGGUAGCCGAUGGAUAACAGAUUGAUAUUUCUGUACUAUUGAUAGUUUGUUUGAGCUGGGGAUGGACAAGAUUGGAAGAGCUUGGCAGAGCGAAGAAGUUGCUCUUGUCUAAAUUGCAAGGUAGUGUUUUCAGGAAAAUCCGUUAACAUGAUUAAUCAAGCAAUGAAUGAAAGGCUGAGUUUAUCGAAGGCCAAUCAAGUUAGCUUUCAGUUUUCGAGAAAAGAUUCGCAGUGAGAACUAUUAAUAACCGUACCGCAAACCGACACAGGUGGACUGGUAGAGAAUACUAAGGCGAUCGGGAGAAGGGGGUUUAAGGAAUUCGGCAAAUUAACUGGGCGUAAGGUAACGAGAUGCCCUGGCCCGCACAGUCGCCGCAAGGCGGCUUCUGCGGGCUCGCAGUGAAAGAUUGCUUGCCGACUGUUUACCAAAAACACAGGUCUCUGCAAAGCCGCAAGGCAAGGUAUAGGGGCUGAAGUCUGCCCAGUGCUGGGAGGUUAAGGGGAUGAGUGACCCUGAGUUUAUCGAAGGGGAGCUUUGAACUGAAGCCCCAGUAAACGGCAGCAGUAACUAUAACUGUUCGAUGGUAGCGAAGUCCUUUGUCGGGUAAGUUCCGACCCGUAUGAAAGACCCAACGAGCAAGCAACUGUCUUGAGCCCUCCCCCGGCGAAAUUGAAAUGGCUGUGAAGAUGCGGCCUACUUACUGCAGGACAAAAAGACCCUGUACAGCUUUACUAUAGCUUGGCAUUGGUUUAAAUUUGUUAACUGUUGAGAAUAGGAGGGAGCCCCGACGUUUACGUCGGGACGUCAGUGAAAUACCUCUCUUUGACAGAUUUAAACCUCACCUAUCCCGACUGGAGACGUCGGGGGGGACAAUGCCUGGUGGGUAGUUUGACUGGGGAAGUCGCUCCGUCAAGAGUAACCGGAGCGCACAAAGGUCGGCUUAGCGCGUAAGGAAAUCGCGCUGGACGUGUAAAGGCAUAAGCCGGCUUAAUAGCGAGACUGACAGGUCGAGCUAAUGCGAAAGCAGGUCUUAGUGAUCCCCCGACACAUUGUGGUAUGGUCGGGGCUUAACGGAUAAAAGCUACGUCAGGGAUAACAGGUUGGUCGCGCCCGAGAGUUCUUAUCGACGGCGCGGUUCGACACCUCGAUGAAUAAUCGUCGCCUCCAAUGGUAACGUUGGAGUGAAUAAUUCGGCUCAUAACGGUGGAGCCCUACUGAUAAAAGUGAAUGAGGGUAAUACCGUGGGAAGUCCCCCGCCUAAAUAUUUUAUAAUUUUUGGCGGGGUGACCCCGUAACGACUGAUUCCCAAUCGUAUUGGGAUGAGAUAGUUGUUUUUGGUGGAAUAUUCAACCAAAAUUUAUGACACCUAUCACACGCCGAACACCCCGAAAAAUUUUGGGGUGGUGGUAUAGUCUAUGCCAUUGGUAACAAUGGAGAACCAUGGUCGGCUCAGCGUAUCCUGGGGCUGAAGAAGGUCCCAAGGGUUGGACUGUUCGUCCAUUAAAACGCUACGUGAGCUGGGUUCAGAGCGUCGUGAGACAGCUCGGCCUCUAUCCGCAGUAAGCACAAGAUACUUGAGAGAAUCUGACCACAGUACGAGAGGACCUGGUUGGAGCGAUCCCUAGUGUGCCAGUUGUUAGCUGUCAAGCGCAUCGCUGGGUAGCUACAUCGCUUCGGGAUAACCGCUGAAAGCAUAUAAGCGGGAAGCCCAUCUCAAGAUUAAGUAUCUGUGUCCCCGCCAUCGGCGGGGGCGAAAGAUCCCAGAGAGACUAUCUGGUUAAUAGGCUGGCGGUGUAAGUGUCGCAAGAUAUUUAGCCUACCAGUACUAAUCGAUCGAA
rnacentral:rRNA from 1 species